GGUAUUAUUGGUAAACCUAGAAACAGAAGAUUAGUCGUUUCCGGCAAUGUUACGCCCGAUGAAAUGAUAGAUGAUUUCGGCGUCGAAGCGCCAGAUAGAGAAACAACGUUUGGUUUGGGCUGAGAUGCCAGAUAGUCUUGACUUUUUAGAUGAUGUUUCACUAGGAGUCUCUGGCCCUUUUAGUAGAUUUUUACUUGUAGAUUCCUGCCUAGUGAGGGGUCUUUAAGAGCUCCGGCAGCGUAGCGCCAGGAGUAAAGGGCCUCUCUGGCGGGCAAGCGCCAAGUGAAGGUGGCCGUUCCGGCGACGUAGCGCCAGGAGCUGGUAAUUGUGCCGGUAGCGUAGCGCCAGGAAUUGGUAAUUUUUCCGGCGGUAUAACGUCGGGGACAGCUACCUUCUCCGGCGGGCGUGCACCAGGAGUUUCGGGCUGUCUUAAGCUAAGUCUACUUUGGUCGUAUCGUAGAAUCGUAGCAUCGUAGAAUCGUUGCAAUAGCUAGUCUAUAAAGAUCGUAUCUCGUAUCGUAGCAUCGCAAGUGUCGUUAAGCGUCGUGCGAUUUGUCGUAAUUGGUCGUCACUGACUGUGUAUAAGUUUAACCAAAUCCAAACUUCUACGUUCUUGCGACAGACUGUGCGCUCAUUGGCUGAAUCCUCUUUUUAUAAACUUGGGUUGACUUAACUAUCUAUGUACAUAAAGUUUUAUUUAAUGACUUAUCGACCAAUCAGCGUUAAGAAUGAUGGUAGCAGUAAAAACAGUAUAUUUCUCUGUUUCUUUGAAAAUUGAAAUAAUUACAGUGCGAAAAUGGAUGAAAUCACAGUGCGAAAAUAUAUGCUUUUAAUGAUGAGCAUGAUUAUUAUUUCUGUUUAUUUUAAAACAUCGACAUCAUGCGACUUGUCGGAGAUGGUGGAUCAGACCACUAAACAAGUGUUGUAAUGUAAAGGGAUUCCAUUUGUCAUUAUUUCAUGAAUUAAAGACUACAGACCACGAAGAAUUUUUUUCGUAUACAAGGAUGUUACCUCAUCAAUUUAAUGAUUUACUUAGACAAAUUAAGCCAUUUCUUCUUCUUGGUGGUUUGCGACAUCCUUUACCUUCAGAAUUGAAACUUGCAUUGACUAUUGGCUUUUUAGCACAUGGUGACAGUGCACAUUCUAAAUAUUGGGAAUAUAGAAUUGAUCGAUCCAUUGUGUACAAAGUUAUUCGAGAAGUGUGUGAAACAAUAUGGAAAGCUUUUCAACCUGCAGUACUUCCACAAUCAGAUCGAUUUAUUUGGAAACAAACAGUUGAAGGUUUUUUCAAUAAAUGGCAGUUUCCAAAUUGCAUCGGUGCACUUGAUGGGAAGCACAUUUGCAUAAAAGCACCAUCAAAUUCUGGAUCAAAAUAUUGUUAAAAAAAAUUCUUCAGCAUUGUUCUAAUGGCAAUAUGUGACUACAAAUAUCGUUUCCUUUGAGUGGAUAUUGGUCAAUUUGGAUCUAUUAGUAAUGGUGGAGUGUGGAGUGAGAGUGAGCUUGGGAGAUGUAUGGGACAAGGAACUUUUGAUGCACCACUGCCAUGUGAAUUGCCUGGUACAAAUAUCAAAACUAUGUCCUGGUUGCUGAUGAAGCCUUUCCAUUAAAUAUGAACAUUUUAAAACCAUAUUCUAAAAAAUUUCUUGCUGGUAAAAAUGUUGAUAAUGCUCCAGUAUUUAAUUAUCGUCUGUCAAGAGCACGAAGGAUCAUUGAAAAUACAUUUGGUAUAUUGGCAGCUAGAUGGCAAAUUCUUCAGAAAGACUGUAAUUCAUCCUGAAAAUGUGGAUCACAUAAUUAAUGCUUUAGUUUGCUUACAUAAUUUUAUUAUGAAUGACGAAGAACAGAGACCUGAUGCUACAAAAUGGUAUUGUCCCUCUAACUUUGUAGAUAAAGAUAAUGAAAACCAUGAAAUUAUGGAAGGCGCCUGGCGAGAGCUGAUUGACAACUUAGCACUAUAUGAAGAUCUUGUUAAUAUGAAAGGAAACAGUGGCACAAAUGCUGCAAAAGCUUAGAGAAAUGUAUUUCGCGAAUAUUUAGUAUCAAAAGUUGGAUGCAACCAAACUUCAUGGCAAUUUUAAUUGGCAUUAAGAGAAUGUUAUAUUAA